AUUGAACGCUAGCGGGAUGCUUUACACAUGCAAGUCGAUCGAGUGGCGGCCGGGUGAGUAAUGUCUCGGAACCUGCCCGGUAGCGGGGUAUAACUACUCGAAACAGUGGCUAAUACCGCAUACUAUUGGAUCUGCCCAUAUGGGAUUAGCUAGUAGGUGGGGUAAUGGCUCACCUAGGCGACGAUCCCUAGCUGGUCUGAGAGGAUGACCAGCCACACUGGAACUGAGACACGGUCCAGACUCCUACGGGAGGCAGCAGUGGGGAAUAUUGGAGAAUGUGGGCAACCCUGAUGCAGCCAUGCCGCGUGUGUGAAUAAGGCCUUCGGGUUGUAAAGCACUUUCAGCAGGGAUGCGGUACUGGCAGAAGAAGCACCGGCUAACUACGUGCCAGCAGCCGCGGUAAUAC
rnacentral:rRNA from 1 species